GAUGAACGCUGGCGGCGUGCCUAAUACAUGCAAGUCGAGCGAACGGACGAGAAGCUUGCUACUCUGAUGUUAGCGGCGGACGGGUGAGUAACACGUGGAUAACCUACCUAUAAGACUGGGAUAACUUCGGGAAACCGGAGCUAAUACCGGAUAAUAUUUUGAACCGCAUGGUUCAAAAGUGAAAGACGGUCUUGCUGUCACUUAUAGAUGGAUCCGCGCUGCAUUAGCUAGUUGGUAAGGUAACGGCUUACCAAGGCAACGAUGCAUAGCCGACCUGAGAGGGUGAUCGGCCACACUGGAACUGAGACACGGUCCAGACUCCUACGGGAGGCAGCAGUAGGGAAUCUUCCGCAAAGGGCGAAAGCCUGACGGAGCAACGCCGCGUGAGUGAUGAAGGUCUUCGGAUCGUAAAACUCUGUUAUUAGGGAAGAACAUAUGUGUAAGUAACUGUGCACAUCUUGACGGUACCUAAUCAGAAAGCCACGGCUAACUACGUG
rnacentral:rRNA from 1 species